UACGGAGGGUGCAAGCGUUAUCCGGAUUUACUGGGUUUAAAGGGUGUGUAGGCGGAUUUUUAAGUCAGGGGUGAAAUCCCGAGGCUCAACCUCGGAACUGCCUUUGAUACUAUUGGUCUUGAAUGUUGUUGAGGUGGGCGGAACGGGUCAUGUAGCGGUGAAAUGCAUAGAUAUGACCCGGAACACCGAUUGCGAAGGCAGCCCGCUAAGCAACUAUUGACGCUGAGGCACGAAAGCGUGGGGAGCAAACAGG
rnacentral:rRNA from 1 species